rnacentral:lncRNA from 1 species
UUGUCAUUCUAUCAAAAAUAAGAACUCAAUAAAAGUAAAUAAAUAAGUGAGACUAUGUGAAAAAAAAAAAAUAUGUAUAUUAAAAAAAAAACUAAAAUGACUAUUAUUAAAAGAUAAGAUAAUUAAAGACUCUUAAAACUAGACUAGAAACAAAAAAGGCUUCAUUCUUGCCUCUAUAUAUAUUAUCUUUCUAAGAUCUAUGUAGUAACAUUCUAUAGGAC